CUCCAAUUUUGAUGUGAAUACCCUCAAAUUAAAGCCCAGAGUGUGAUAUAUAACUGUUUAUAACUGUAACAUGAAUACAUUUCGGUCAACAGCUAAAAUAAUAAAAAUUGUGCCUGUGUCCAAAUACAGACCUAACUGUAUCCCAUGUCAUCUGAAGUCAUACUACAGAAAUUUAAUUCAUUAAUAUUCCCCUCCGAAUGAAGGACUGUAACAGGGAAUUGACUGCAUGUGACCAUCAGUGAUGUUUGGUCAUGUGACAUGUAAGAACCAAUGGCGUUUGUUCUAAAUGUAGCUGAAGUGCCUGUGUUAUAGUCAGUUUCAAAAAUGUCCGUCUUCAAGAAUAUGCAGUAUAAGUCAUAUAAGCUACUUUUGUAGUGCUUCUUUUGUUGUUUUAUACAGAAAAUGCUUGGCAGCUUCAUUCCUCUUUCAUUUCUUUUCUAAUAAAUGGAUUACACGUGCUCCCUCUCUAAAGUUUUUAAUUCAUUUGUCUUCAUUAUAAUUUUCUCAGACAUCUUGGCGUGUAUAACUGUCACACAAGAGCCAAUCACAGCUGGUAUGUAAACUGUAAAUGUGAAGAUCUGAUACUAUAAAUCGAAUAGUAAUACUGUCUGUAUUUCUGAAGUAUGCUGUAUGUGAAGGGCUGCUAGUAAUGUUCAUGAACUAUAGGCUAUAACUCAAGAUUAGUUAUGUCAAUGCUAAAUAAAAACAGGUAAUUAUUUUCAUUUCAGUUGGUGUCUCUGACCCCUGCUCCAGCUACAGUGUGCUGGAUAAUCCAUGGAGAGUUAGCAGUAAUCGAUAUGCUUCUGUCAUAUAUUGUGACCAGGAUGUCACCUGGAGCGGCUGGUAUCGUUUCUUCAUUAACAACAUAAGCACUCAUAUCCCAGAAACAUGUGUUGACAUCUAUAGCUGUGGCACAAAUCUCCCAAUGUGGAUUAAUGCUAGACACCCAACAGUUGGGGAUGGAAUCGUCUCUAUAUUAGUCUGCACUACCUGGAACAAUAACUGCUGCUUUCAUAUGCAUUACAUUAGAGUCAAAGCCUGCCCGGACAAUUAUUACGUCUAUGAGUUGGUUCGUCCAUUUGGCUGUCAUUUUGCAUACUGUGCAGUUCCUCCUAACAUCAGCAGCACUGUUACAGUCGCACCAGAGACGAGCUCAGCUGAUAUAAAUAUAACACUGCAAGAAGGAUGCACCAGCCAGACCUCUGGAGGAUGUUUACAAAAUCUUCUUGAACAGAUCGAGAAUAUUACAGCUCAAGUGCUUCCUUUGAGUGUAAGUUUUAAAGAGAAAAAUAUUAAAAUAAUAAAGUUACAUAAAGAUUGCUCUGUUGAAAUUUAUAUCUACAAUAACUGUAUUUUUCUAAUCAAUGAAUUAGACUGUGACAAACAUUUUGACGGUGGCCUUCAAUGCUUCAGAAAAGAUUUUAGAGUCAUCAUCAUCAGCAAACCCAGCUGAACUAGCCUCCUUUGGAAACCGUGUGUUAAAAACCAGCGAGAAACUAAUUUCUACAUUAGUGAAGCCGACAGACACUAAUGACAGUGUCAGUUUUACUCUUGCUGCUGUAGGUAUGUGGAGGCAUUAUUAAACUAUUAUUGAUGACUGAGAUUAUAUACAGUAUGAUGUCAGUGACUUUAUUUUGUCUAGAGAGCAGCAGAGGGUCUCGUCAAAUUGACACAGAC
ensembl:lncRNA